GAUGAACGCUAGCGACAGGCUUAACACAUGCAAGUCGAGGGGCAGCAUGAUUUGUAGCAAUACAGAUUGAUGGCGACCGGCGCACGGGUGAGUAACGCGUAUGCAACUUACCUAUCAGAGGGGGAUAGCCCGGCGAAAGUCGGAUUAAUACCCCAUAAAACAGGGGUCCCGCAUGGGAAUAUUUGUUAAAGAUUCAUCGCUGAUAGAUAGGCAUGCGUUCCAUUAGGCAGUUGGCGGGGUAACGGCCCACCAAACCGACGAUGGAUAGGGGUUCUGAGAGGAAGGUCCCCCACAUUGGUACUGAGACACGGACCAAACUCCGUACGGGAGCAGCAGUGAGGAAUAGUUGGUCAAGUGGGCGCAAGCCUGACCCAGCCAU
rnacentral:rRNA from 1 species